rnacentral:rRNA from 1 species
UAUUUCCUACGGGACGCAGCAGUGGGGAAUAUUGCACAAUGGGGGAAACCCUGACGCAGCAACGCCGCGUGAGUGAUGACGGCCUUCGGGUUGUAAAGCUCUGUCUUCAGGGACGAUAAUGACGGUACCUGAGGAGGAAGCCACGGCUAACUACGUGCCAGCAGCCGCGGUAGUACGUAGGUGGCGAGCGUUGUCCGGAUUUACUGGGCGUAAAGGGAGCGUAGGCGGACUUUUAAGUGAGAUGUGAAUUACUCG